rnacentral:tRNA from 1 species
GGCAAUGUGGCUUAGUGGUAGAGUGCUUGCCCAGCAUGCAUGAAGCCCUGGGUUCGAUUCCUCACUACCA